GUUCAUGCUAGGUUCAGGUCCUCAUAUUGUAGCUUAUAGAGACCCCAACUAAUGUAUGGUGUAUUGGUUUGGAUACAAGCACCAUGAAACCCACAACACACUACAUUUAUUUGACUUUGUGAAAAUCUGUUUUUUGGAACUAACAACACUUUUUCCAUGUGGUUUCUUCCUUCACAGACUCCAUGAAAUGAUGACCUCUACCUAAAUAUCACUUAUUUUCUUUCUCCUAUCUCCCUUGUUCUCACUCUUUUAGAUCAGGCAACAGUUGAACCAAGCAACAUGUAUUUGAGCAAUGCCCUGGCCAUGUUACUUGUUAAACACUUCAACCAGAGGUUGGACUAUACAUCAGCUGAGAAUAACCCACCAUAAAAGGACCAAGCGGCGUGGUAACGGGCAGCAGCAGCAGCAAUGUCAGGACUCCUGGACAUGGGAUGACGUUUUGGACGGCAAGGGUUGCUACAAAUGGGAGGAGAUCCUGGCUGGUAGGUAUCGCCUACCAUGGGAACAGGUGGAGGCAGCUAGGAGAGAGGAGCCAACGAUACGAGGGAACGCGACUGGCAAGGAAGCCCGAUAGGCAGCCCCAAAAAUGUCAUGGGGGGUGGCACACAGGGAGUGUGGCGAAGCCAGGUAGGAGACCUGCGCCAACUUCCUGUGCUUACCGGAGAGCAAGAGGGACCGGGCAGGCACCAUGUUAUGCUGUGGAGGGCACAGUGUCCCCGGUGCGGGUGCAUAGCCCGGUGCAGUACAUUCCAGCUCCUCGUAUCGGCUAGGCUAGAGUGGGCAUCGAGCCAGGUGCCAUGAAGCCGGCUUUACGCAUCUGGUCUCCAGUGCGUCUCCUCGGGCCGGCGUGCAUGGCACCAGCCUUACGCAUGGUGUCCCUGGUUCGCCAGCACAGCCCAGUGCGGGCUAUUCCACCUUGCCGCACUGGCGUUGCGACCGGGAGCAUUCAACCAGAUAAGGUUGGGCAGGCUCGGUGCUCAAGAGCUUCAGUGCGCCUGCACGUUCCGGUCUAUCCAGUGCCACCUCCACGCACCAGCCCUCCGGUGGCAGCCCCCCGCACCAGGCUGUCUCUCCGUCUCAUCCCUACAGGUGCUCCCGUCUGUCGAGAGCUGCCAGAGUCUCCCGUCUGUCGAGAGCUGCCAG
ensembl:lncRNA